AGAUUCACCAGAGAGUCCACACAGGAGAGAGGCCAUACAGCUGCUCAGAGUGUGACAAGAGAUACACUUUGAAGAGUCACCUUACAAGACACCAGCAGAGACACACAGGAGAGAAACCUCACUACUGCGCAGAGUGCGGCAAGAGCUUCAAGUGUUUAAUGGACCUGAGAUGCCACGUUCAGCGCAAACAUAGUGGGACACCCUACCACUGCACCCUCUGUGCGCAGCUUCAGCUCCCCUCAGCAUCUGAAGUACCACCAGAUGACACACACGGGAGAGAAACCAUUCAUAUGCACCACCGACUGCGGGAAUUCCCUCAGGCCGUAGUUUUGACGUACCACAGGAGGAUUCACACCGGAGAGAAACCUCACAGCUGUGAUUAGUGUGACGAGCAGUCUGCAAUCACACCAGCGGACACAUACAGAAGAGAAGCCUUACAGCUGUGAUGAAUGUGGGAAGAGAUUCACUAAUUCGGGAACUCUAGUUUCGCACAAGAGAAUGCACACCUGAGAGAAACCUUACCACACACAGGAGUGAGGCCUAUAAUGGCUGUGCACAAGAUAACACACACUGAUAGAUAUGCCUGGAUCAAAUAUGUAAUUUUGUAAAUGAUGGAACACAUUUUAUAGAAUGAGCAUCAUGGACACACAGUAACAACUGUGAAACAUGAAACACUUCUAGGUUGUCCUUGACAAUUCCCACAACUGAAACCACACAGGCUUUCACUCAGUGUCGUGGAUUUGACCUAAACCCAUAGUUUUUAAUUUAGGCUAAAACGUGACUCUUUGUCCCUCAGCAUCCAGAGAGCAGCAAGGAUUACUCUCCCCUCCCCUCUACUCACUCUACACCAAUGACUGCACCUCAUACAACAGCCUCUGUCAAACUACUCUGGUUUCCAUUGUUACAUCACUCUGGUCAGUCUCAUCACCGACGGCCAUUAAAUCCACGUCAUGUGGAGAGGUCGAUCCGGUUAGUUUUUCACUAAAGCCACCGUUGUGUUUUUUUUUCUACUCUGGUUUCCAUUGUUACAUCACUCUGGUCAGUCUCAUCACCGACGGCCAUUAAAUCCACGUCAUGUGGAGAGGUCGACCGGUUAGUUUUUUCACUAAAGCCACCGUUGUGUUUUUUUUUUUUUUUUCUACUCUGGUUUCCAUUGUUACAUCACUCUGGUCAGUCUCAUCACCGACGGCCAUUAAAUCCACGUCAUGUGGAGAGGUCGACCGGUUAGUUUUUUCACUAAAGCCACCGUUGCUUCUACGUUUGCAAUGCCUGCUGUUUGGGGUUUUCGGCUUGGUUUCUGUACCAAGGACAUUGUGACUUCUGCUGAUGUAAAAAGGGCUUUUAUAAAGUACACUGAGGGUGCAGCUACAUCCUGUCUUCCAGACACUGAGGGUGCAGAUACAUCCUGUCUUCCAGACACUGAGGGUGCAGCUCCAUCCUGUCUUCCAGACACUGAGGGUGCAGCUACAUCCUGUCUUCCAGCUGAUUGGAGGAGAACUGAAAUAUUACUUUUGUAUAGCAACAGCAAUAUGACCUGGAGACAGAAACUCCACCUGCUCUGAGCUAAUCUUGUUGUUCCUGCUUGAUAUCAAUAUACCCUUUUAUGCUUUCACACUUCUGCUGACUGCUAUGUAGACAAAGAGCUUUUGAUUAAACCUGAGACCCAACUCUGUUCAGGGGCUCUUAUCGCCGCACCACUGAGUGAUUGUUAACCCCUCAAGAAUUGUCAUUCUUAUAAUAAACGUUGUUUUAAGAAA